rnacentral:rRNA from 1 species
CAGUCGCCGCGGUAAUACGUAGGUGGCGAGCGUUGUCCGGAAUUAUUGGGCGUAAAGGGAGCGCAGGCGGACAUAUAAGUCCAUCUUAAAAGUGCGGGGCUCAACCCCGUGAGGGGAUGGAAACUGUAUGCCUUGAGUGCAGGAGAGGAAAGCGGAAUUCCCAGUGUAGCGGUGAAAUGCGUAGAUAUUGGGAGGAACACCAGUGGCGAAGGCGGCUUUCUAGACUGUAACUGACGCUGAGGCUCGAAAGCCAGGGGAGCGAACGGGAUUAGAUACCCCUGUAGUCCCUGUCUCUUAUACA